rnacentral:rRNA from 1 species
GACGAACGCUGGCGGCGUGCUUAACACAUGCAAGUCGAACGGUAAGGCCCUUCGGGGUACACGAGUGGCGAACGGGUGAGUAACACGUGGGUGAUCUGCCCUGCACUUCGGGAUAAGCCUGGGAAACUGGGUCUAAUACCGGAUAGGACUCCGGACUGCAUGGUCUGGGGUGGAAAGCUUUUGCGGCGUGGGAUGGGCCCGCGGCCUAUCAGCUUGUUGGUGGGGUGAUGGCCUACCAAGGAGACGACGGGUAGCCGGCCUGAGAGGGUGACCGGCCACACUGGGACUGAGAUACGGCCCAGACUCCUACGGGAGGCAGCAGUGGGGAAUAUUGCACAAUGGGCGCAAGCCUGAUGCAGCGACGCCGCGUGAGGGAUGACGGCCUUCGGGUUGUAAACCUCUUUCAGCAUCGACGAAGCGAAAGUGACGGUAGGUGCAGAAGAAGGACCGGCCAACUACGUGCCAGCCGCCGCAGUAA